AACGAACGCUGGCGGCAUGCCUAACACAUGCAAGUCGAACGAGAGCUUUCGGGCUCUAGUGGCGCACGGGUGCGUAACGCGUGGGAAUCUGCCCUGGGGUACGGGAUAACAGCGGGAAACUGCUGCUAAUACCGUAUGAUGACGUAAGUCCAAAGAUUUAUCGCCCUGGGAUGAGCCCGCGUUGGAUUAGCUAGUUGGUGGGGUAAAGGCCUACCAAGGCGACGAUCCAUAGCUGGUCUGAGAGGAUGAUCAGCCACACUGGGACUGAGACACGGCCCAG
rnacentral:rRNA from 1 species